rnacentral:rRNA from 1 species
GACGAACGCUGGCGGCGUGCUUAACACAUGCAAGUCGAACGGAAAGGCCCUGCGGGUGUGGGGUGCUCGAGUGGCGAACGGGUGAGUAACACGUGAGUAACCUGCCCUUGACUUUGGGAUAACUUCAGGAAACUGGGGCUAAUACCGGAUAGGAGCUCCUGCUGCAUGGUGGGGGUGGGAUAGUUUCGGCGGUUGGGGAUGGACUCGCGGCUUAUCAGCUUGUUGGUGGGGUAGUGGCUUACCAAGGCUUUGACGGGUAGCCGGCCUGAGAGGGUGACCGGCCACAUUGGGACUGAGAUACGGCCCAGACUCCUACGGGAGGCAGCAGUGGGGAAUAUUGCACAAUGGGCGGAAGCCUGAUGCAGCAACGCCGCGUGCGGGAUGACGGCCUUCGGGUUGUAAACCGCUUUCGCCUGUGACGAAGCGUGAGUGACGGUAAUGGGUAAAGAAGCACCGGCUAACUACGUG